GGAUAACACUUAGAAAUAGGUGCUAAUACCGCAUAAGCGCACAGCUUCGCAUGAAGUGGUGUGAAAAACUCUGGUGGUAUACGAUGGUUCCGCGUCUGAUUAGCUUGUUGGUGGGGUAAUGGCUCACCAAGGCGACGAUCAGUAGCCGGCCUGAGAGGGUGAACGGCCACAUUGGGACUGAGACACGGCCCAAACUCCUACGGGAGGCAGCAGUGGGGAAUAUUGCACAAUGGGGGAAACCCUGAUGCAGCGACGCCGCGUGAGUGAAGAAGUAUUUCGGUAUGUAAAGCUCUAUCAGCAGGGAAGAAAUAGCGACCUUUGGGUCGCCAGACGGUACCUGAUUAAGAAGCCCCGGCUAACUACGUGCCAGCAGCCGCGGUAAUACGUAGGGGGCAAGCGUUAUCCGGAUUUACUGGGUGUAAAGGGAGCGUAGACGGCAGCACAAGUCUGAAGUGAAAUGCCGGGGCUUAACCCCGGAACUGCUUUGGAAACUGUGCAGCUAGAGUGCAGGAGAGGUAAGUGGAAUUCCUAGUGUAGCGGUGAAAUGCGUAGAUAUUAGGAGGAACACCAGUGGCGAAGGCGGCUUACUGGACUGUAACUGACGUUGAGGCUCGAAAGCGUGGGGAGCAAACAGGAUUAGAUACCCUGGUAGUCCACGCUGUAAACGAUGAUUACUAGGUGUUGGGGGACCAAGGUCCUUCGGU
rnacentral:rRNA from 1 species